AUGCCAGCGAGUCAACGCUUUGGCAGCCACUGCGGCCGUCGAUGCAGCAGGUCGACGAGGCCGUGCCAAGCAGCAACAAAGGGCGGCGGCGAUCACCAGCUGGAUGGCCGCGGCGAGCAGUGGUCCUCGAGUGGCGAUGGUGAGCAAGCGGAAGAGCAGCAGCAACAUCGGAGAGUAGCCAAAGGGAUGACGUGCGCGCAGGGGCUCACCCUCGUCGUUGCCGAGAUCCAGAUCGGACUCGACGCAGGCGAGGUCCAUCCGUCGCCCAAGCCAGCAGAGACAAGAGGAGGUGAUCUACCUCGGCGCCGGUGA
rnacentral:rRNA from 1 species